AACGAACGCUGGCGGCAUGCCUAACACAUGCAAGUCGAACGAGACCUUCGGGUCUAGUGGCGCACGGGUGCGUAACGCGUGGGAACCUGCCCUUAGGUUCGGAAUAACUCCCCGAAAGGGGUGCUAAUACCGGAUAAUGUCUUCGGACCAAAGAUUUAUCGCCUUUGGAUGGGCCCGCGUUGGAUUAGCUAGUUGGUAGGGUAAAAGCCUACCAAGGCGACGAUCCAUAGCUGGUCUGAGAGGAUGAUCAGCCACACUGGGACUGAGACACGGCCCAGAAUCCUACGGGAGGCAGCAGUGGGGAAUAUUGGACAAUGGGCGAAAGCCUGAUCCAGCAAUGCCGCGUGAGUGAUGAAGGCCUUAGGGUUGUAAAGCUCUUUUAACCGGGAUGAUAAUGACAGUACCGGGAGAAUAAGCUCCGGCUAACUCCGUG
rnacentral:rRNA from 1 species